CCGACUAUAGCUCAGUUGGAAGAGCGAAGGACUGUAACUUGUUAGAUAUCCUUAGGUCCCUGGUUCGAUCCCAGGUGGUCGGA